GGAAACUUGUGCUAAUACCUUAUAAUCCCUUCGGGGGAAAGCUUUAUGCGCUAAUGGAUGGGCCCGCGUUAGAUUAGCUUGUUGGUGAGGUAAUGGCUCACCAAGGCGACGAUCUAUAGCUGGUCUGAGAGGAUGAUCAGCCACACUGGGACUGAGACACGGCCCAGACUCCUACGGGAGGCAGCAGUGGGGAAUAUUGGACAAUGGGGCAACCCUGAUCCAGCGAUGCCGCGUGAGUGAUGAAGGCCUUAGGGUUGUAAAACUCUUUCGCUAGGGAAG
rnacentral:rRNA from 1 species